UCUGAUUUGAACUCAAUCCUCAAUCAGAAAAAAUCACACAUGCAAAUGAGAAAUUCGGAGUAAUCUUCAAACACACAACCCGCUCAACUCUCAGCAAAAGAGGGUUGGGCCGGUACUGCCCGCGAGGGCCUGGCGUGAAGAAUUAUCACACGUCUGCAAUCAGGCAUCAGAAACUUCGGAGGGGAUCAGGGUUCCAGGGUCGUGGGAAACCCCAGCUUCCCUCCCCCCCCUCCAUGGGAGAGCCGUUGCGAAGAUUGUGUGUACAUCCUCCCUUCUCUCUCCGCUUUUCCUCCCCUGUGGGUGGUUAAGUGGUUGAGGGAGGGGGGUUGUAUGACACUUUAGUGCAAUACGCAGCGUACUGGGUUCUCAUCUUUUUCUUAUUUUUAGAAUGGGAUCGAGACUGGUAUGAAUUCGAUUCCGAUUACUCUGGUGGGGA
rnacentral:RNase_P_RNA from 2 species